AUCGGCACCAUAUUACUGCCUGUGGACUUAGUCACAUUCAACCUCUCCCUCAUCGGCAACCAUCCUCAUCAACAACCCGCAUCGUACUGCCACCCUAUCCUGCCAUCCUAGACACGUGCCCAAAAACGGUGUCAACACAUGCCCCCCAGUUUCGGAGUAUAAAACUAUUAAUGCUCCGAAAUUCUCUACAGUAAUGAUGCCUUCUCCGCAAUUAAUGCUCCUAAUC
rnacentral:lncRNA from 1 species